CCGGCGCACGGGUGAGUAACGCGUAUCCAACCUGCCCAUUACAGGGGAAUAACCUUGCGAAAGUAAGACUAAUGCCCCAUGGUAUUCUCAGCAGACAUCUAAUGAGGAUUAAAGAUUUAUCGGUAAUGGAUGGGGAUGCGUCUGAUUAGCUUGUUGGCGGGGUAACGGCCCACCAAGGCAACGAUCAGUAGGGGUUCUGAGAGGAAGGUCCCCCACAUUGGAACUGAGACACGGUCCAA
rnacentral:rRNA from 1 species